UGGUAGAGCGGGCACUCAUAUAUAGAGGUUUACUCCUCAACGUGGCGGCCGCGGGUUUGAUUCCGACCUGCAAUCCUUUGCUGUGUGUCAUUCCCCUUUCAGUCAUC